rnacentral:rRNA from 1 species
UAUUCUACUUAUGAUAAAGAAUUAUAUGCUCUUGUUCGGACUUUAGAAACAUGGCAACAUUAUUUAUGGCCCAAAGAAUUUGUUAUACAUUCUGAUCAUGAAUCUUUGAAACACAUUAAACGUCAAGCAAAACUGAACCAUAGACAUGCUAAAUGGGUUGAAUUCAUUGAGACUUUCCCUUAUGUCAUUAAACACAAGAAGGGUAAAGAAAAUGUUAUUGUUGAUGCAUUGUCUCGUCGUUAUCUAUGCUUUCACAACUUGACUUUAAAAUAUUUGGUUUGGAGACCAUCAAAGAUCAAUAUGUGCAUGAUGCUGAAUUUAAAGAUGUAUUGCAGAAUUGUAAAGAAGGUAGAACAUGGAACAAGUUCG